rnacentral:rRNA from 1 species
CCCGCCGGCGACCGGCGCACGGGUGAGUAACACGUAUGCAACCUGGCCGCCACAGGGGGAUAACCCGCGGAAACGCAGCCUAAUACCCCGUGACGCCACCGGAGGGCAUCCUCCGGUGGCCAAAGGAGCGAUCCGGUGGCGGAUGGGCAUGCGGCGCAUUAGCUAGACGGCGGGGUGACGGCCCACCGUGGCGACGAUGCGUAGGGGUUCUGAGAGGAAGGCCCCCCACACUGGGACUGAGACACGGCCCAGACUCCUACGGAAGGCAGCAG